rnacentral:lncRNA from 10 species
GUCGCUGCGCGUCGGAGCCCGAGGGGCCGGGGACGCGCGCGGGGGGAGAGGGGCAAGAGUCCUGGAGGCCCGGCGGGGAGCGGGGCGAUUUCGAAAGGAAGGACUGCAGCGCCCCUCGGGGCUUCUCGGGGAGCCCAGGAGGAAAGAGCUCAAUGCGGAAUCACAUAGGCAAAGGCUCUGAUUAUUUUCCUUGCAAUCGAAGACAAAAGCCGCCAUGUUUAUUAAAAUGAAAGUCGUAUUUUUACUCUUCCCUGGAAAGAAGUAUGUGCAACCAGACCAUCCCACCAAAGUCCUUCUAGCCCCCAGGAAGAAAAUUGAAGAGUUCAAAGAAUUGAAAAGUUAAGCCAAUUCAUUUAAAAUAAUCUUUGACUUUCUCAUUAUCAAUAUAUGUGUAUUUUCUGCAAGGUUACAAAAACAACUGGAACAUAUGUUAAAAUAAUCUUCAGUGUCAUCUGCAGCAACUAAUUCUAGAGAACUAUCUUAUUCAAUUUCAUUUCUUACUUAUAUGGAACUAAACCUUAAUCUGCUUUUCAGGUAUGAAAUAUAUUCAUGAUUCUGUCUCAAAAUAUGAAAUCAAAAGUUAGCAUUAUAACUCCCAGCUAACUGUCAUAUUAAUUCAUCUGGAUGAACCUUGUGGUACUGAACUUUGACAAUGCUCAGGGUGUC